AGACUGAAUAGGAGUAGGGCUGCUCUGGGUGAAGUGUCUGGAGGAAUGGGCACAGUGCCAGCCUAGCAUCCCUUCUACCCUCAAGGAAUAGAGGCUGCAAACCAUGGACUGUCUGAUCACUGACAUAGUCCAUGAGUGUCAUGAGGGUGAUGGGGGCCUUAGGUGACAAGCACAUGACCAGAGCUCUCUUUUCUUCACUCCAGCCGGCCAUCCACCAUAUUCCUGGUUUUGAGGUGCAGGAGACAUCAAGGAUCCUGGAUGAGUCUGAGGACACAGACCUGCCCUACCCACCACCCCAGAGGGAGGCCAACAUCUACAUGGUUCCUCAGAACAUCAAGCCAGCGCUCCAGCGUACCGCCAUUGAGCCUCGUGGUAGAGUGUCGGGGCCAGACGGUGCAGUCCUGUGUCAUCAGGAACCUCCGGAAGAACCCCAACUUUGACAUCUGCACCCUCUUCAUGGAAGUGAUGCUGCCCAGGGAGGAGCUCUACUGCCCCCCCAUCACCGUCAAGGUCAUCGAUAACCGCCAGUUUGGCCGCC
rnacentral:sRNA from 1 species